rnacentral:rRNA from 1 species
UACGGGGGGGGCAAGCGUUGUUCGGAAUUACUGGGCGUAAAGGGCUCGUAGGUGGCCAACUAAGUCAGACGUGAAAUCCCCAGGCUCAACUUGGGAACUGCGUCUGAUACUGGAUGGCUUGAGUGUGGGAGAGGGAUGCGGAAUUCCAGGUGUAGCGGUGAAAUGCGUAGAUAUCUGGAGGAACACCGGUGGCGAAGGCGGCAUCCUGGACCGACACUGACGCUGAGGAGCGAAAGCCAGGGGAGCAAACGGG